rnacentral:rRNA from 1 species
GACGAACGCUGGCGGCGUGCUUAACACAUGCAAGUCGAACGAAGUGGCGAACGGGUGAGUAACGCGUAAUCAACCUGCCCUUCAGGGGGGGACAACAGUUGGAAACGACUGCUAAUACCGCAUACUGAUGGAGGGGAUUGCGUCUGAUUAGCUAGUUGGAGGGGUAACGGCCCACCACGGCGAUGAUCAGUAGGCGGGCUGGGAGGAUGAACGGCCAAAUUGGGACUGGGACACGGGCCAGGCUCCCACGGGGGGCAGCAGUGGGGGAUCAUCCGCAAUGGACGAAAGUCUGACGGAGCAAAGCCGCGUGAGUGAUGAAGGCCUUCGGGGUGUAAAGCUAUGUUAAUCGGGACGCGGUACCGGAAUAGAAAGCCACGGCUAACUACGUGCCAGCAGCCGCGGUAAUUC